rnacentral:SRP_RNA from 2 species
GCUGGGCGUAGUGGUGUUUGCCUGUAGUACCAGCUACUUGGAGGCUGAGGCAGGAGGAUAGCUUGAGCCCAGGAGUUGGAGGCUGCAGUGAGCUGAGACAGCACCACUGAACUCCAGCCUGGGUGACAGAGUGAGACCCUGUCUCUA